CCUACGGGUGGCAGCAGUGAGGAAUAUUGGUCAAUGGGCGCGAGCCUGAACCAGCCAAGUAGCGUGAAGGAUGACUGCCCUACGGGUUGUAAACUUCUUUUAUAAAGGAACAAAGUGAGGCACGUGUGCCUCUUUGUAUGUACUUUAUGAAUAAGGAUCGGCUAACUCCGUGCCAGCAGCCGCGGUAAUACUGAGUAUCCGUGCGUUAUCCGGAUUUAUUGGGUUUAAAGGGAGCGUAGAUGGGUUGUUAAGUCAGUUGUGAAAGUUUGCGGCUCAACCGUAAAAUUGCAAUUGAUACUGGCAGCCUUGAGUACAGUUGAGGGAGGCGGAAUUCGUGGUGUAGCGGUGAAAUGCUUAGAUAUCACGAAGAACUCCGAUUGCGAAGGCAGCCUACUAAACUGCCACUGACAUUGAGGCUCGAAAGUGUGGGUAUCAAACAGGAUUAGAUACCCGUGUAGUC
rnacentral:rRNA from 1 species